ensembl:snoRNA
UGGACCAGCGAUUAUGACUGGAAGCAUAGGAAUCAAGGGUGAAGAAAAUGUGUCUGAAACACUGAGGUCUCG